AGACAAAGGUCAUGGGGGGGGGGUUCUCAAGCAAUCACAGGUGCAUUUUAUCCUAAGUGAUGACUAGAUGAUCAGGCCUCAGCUGGUGCUACCCUCCAGAGAAGAGUUAAGCUUUAGAGUGUCAGAGAAAUCAGAGCAGGCUCCAGCAGGAUGCUGGAUUUGAGCAAUGGGUCAGAUGUGAGCCAGUGAGAACUAGAAAGGACUUUCCACACAUGGGAAAAGCAGAAACAGAGGCAAUGAGGAAAAAUCACUAUGUUUACAGAAUAUGUGAGGAUAUCCUAGGCAGAGAAAAGUUUCCUGCUGGGAAAUAAAGGUAAUCUUAGGAAAAAGGAUCCAGCUUAUUGAGGACUUUAAAUUCCAAACCAGUAGUUGAAAUAGAUUACUAUUAAUGAUCAUGACAGAGUUUGAGAAAAACUAACCUGGCAAUAGUUCAAAGGAUGAAUUGAAGAUUAAGAGAUAAAUAAACCGGUUUGAACAUAAAUCCAGGUAAGAAGCCCCAGUUAGGAUCAAAGCUAUGCAGAUGGGGAAUAGGGACCUCUAUCGAGAUGGUUUAUAUUGGAGUGAAUGAAGCACACAAGCAAGGCUUGAACACGUGGUCAACCUAUCCUGGAAAUGAGUUUAGCUGCACUUGUACCAGAAAUUGCACCAACCAGAAUGCCGGAGGACCUGCAACCAGAUGGAAUGACAAUAACAUGAGAAACAACUGGCUCUGAGUGGAGGUUGCAUUUGGCUGAUUGGAGCUGCCCAAGUCAGAGAUGAAGCCUCCUUCCACAGUCUACAGAGGCAGCUGUCCAGCCAUGGACUACACUUGCCAGCCUUUCUUGCAACUCGAUAGGGCCAUGUGAAUAUUUCUCCCUGAGAACAAUUGAGAUGUAUUCUCUCAAGACCAAGAUUAAGAAUCUUUCUCCAUUUGUUUUUUCCCUAUGCUCCUCCUGCGUGUAAAGGGUGAAAACCCUGGGAAGAGGAGGCCACAGAUAAAAGGAGGCUGAGUUCCUGAGUCACCAUGUGGAAGCUGCCGCCAGUCAGGAUUGUUAAAUGACUGGGGUCACAGUCGCAACAGCUGCAUUACUCUAAUAUCCUCUCUCUGUGAAUUCUAAUGGGAUUCCUGACAUACUGGGAAGUGGGGCUGGAUGCUUCUGAAAGCUCCUUCUGAUACACAUUCUCUGGCACAUUUCUUCUGAAAUUUAUAAACUAUUGUACUUGAAAGUUAUGUUGUCAAAUAGGAUCAUUUAAUUAUCCUGUAGUAAAUAUUGCAGAGCUUAAAACCACUGCGUCAGAAGAACUGGUCUCUAGCUCUGGCUCUUCUACAAGCCUGUUAUAGAGUCUGGAAAAUAUAACUUUACUUCUCUGAGCCUCAGUUUCAUCAACUGUAAAAUACAAAUAAAAUGCAGUGUGAACGAGGAGAGACAAUAUGACCUCUAAAUUCCUUUCAAAUAAAAUCUCUUCGAGAAAUGUACAGCAACAGCUCUUUACAGGCAGAGAGAAGUGGGAGCACAGAACUUUAGUGCAUUAAUGAAUAUUGCACUAAACUUAACCUAUAAUAAACUCUUUAAUCACAGAGUAUCUUUUAUUAUUGGACUUAAAAAAUUGGAGAUGAGUCAUUAGGCUCUUCGCUUUUGACUCUAGAUAUAGUCAAAUUGUCUUGACCAACUCAGAUACUCCAUUCAGUUGAGGCAGUAAUUGGGGAUGAUUUGUUUCAGGAGUAGGAAAUGGGGCCAGGUGAGUCCAGUGGGAAAUGACUGGCAUUGCCAAGAAACACUCCAGGGCACCAGGCCAUGACCGUCAGUGACACACAAGCCCGCACUGACCAUGAAUCCCACAGUAAACCACAGGCUGAUUGAAGUUCUGUUUUCCUUUACAAACAAAUAGGCAUGGCGGUGUUCCAAUAAAACUUUGUUUACUGGUUUCAGUUAUCAUUUUUAAAAAAUUAACCAACCUAAGGAAGUCAUUUAGAAGGCACAAAAUUAUUACAGAAAAAAUCCUGCAAGCU
ensembl:lncRNA